rnacentral:lncRNA from 1 species
UUGUUUUUGAACACCAGUUUGUCUCCAGCAUUGAUCUUCACCAUACUUGGGACGAACGCCAAAUCCCCAUCGUUGCUACCAAGCAAAACCUCCACAUCCGCGGCCAUGGCUGUGCUUGCAAACAUCACUGUGGCUGCUGUGGCUACGACUGCUGCACCAACAUCCUUCAGAGAUGCCUUUACAGACACUGCUGACCUGGUCUUUGCCACCUUUGGGUUGUUGGGUAUGGAGACAAGAUUUCGGAGUGCGUGAACAGGCGCCUUCAGGCCACUCAACUUGGGGAUUGUCACGGAUGCGGUUGACAGACUAGCCAUG